rnacentral:rRNA from 1 species
UACGUAGGGUGCGAGCGUUGUCCGGAAUUAUUGGGCGUAAAGAGCUCGUAGGCGGUUUGUUGCGUCUAUCGUGAAAACCUGCGGCUUAACUGUGGGCUUGCGGUGGAUACGGGCAGACUUGAGUUCGGUAGGGGAGACUGGAAUUCCUGGUGUAGCGGUGAAAUGCGCAGAUAUCAGGAGGAACACCGGUGGCGAAGGCGGGUCUCUGGGCCGUAACUGACGCUGAGGAGCGAAAGCGUGGGGAGCGAACAGG